rnacentral:rRNA from 1 species
UACGAAGGGGGCGAGCGUUGUUCGGAUUUACUGGGCGUAAAGGGCGCGUAGGCGGCCCUCCUUGUCGCGUGUGAAAGCCCCGGGCUCAACCUGGGAAUUGCGCGCGAAACGGGGGGGCUGGAGUUCGGGAGAGGAGCGUGGAAUUCCCAGUGUAGAGGUGAAAUUCGUAGAUAUUGGGAAGAACACCGGUGGCGAAGGCGGCGCUCUGGACCGAGACUGACGCUGAGGCGCGAAAGCGUGGGGAGCAAACAGG